GGGGCGGCGGGUGAGGUGCAGAAGAAGAAUAAGAAGAAGUUGUACCUAUCCAGUAAUUUUAUCUUGAUUUGUGGAUUAGACGAAGACUAGAUUUUGAUAAAGAAAUCGACAAACUUGAACUGCAGGACUCGUGGCGCUGCUCGCCUCCUCGCCAAUGCGAACGCGUUCUCUGAGGACAACCCACCCAAGGCUAGUAUGGCGAAGCCACGCCACCGCGCCGGCUAUAGACUCACGGCCUGAAGCGAGUUUGGGCGCGACGGCUGGCGAGCCAAGGCGGCGGAAAGUCGUCUGGCGGAGCUCCCGUCUGAGGCGAGCUUGAUCUGGUCAGACAGCUCCGCCACCGAUGGUGUGCUAGAUGGAGGAGGAGGGGCCACCCCCCCCCCGAACCGCGACAUCCGGGAGGUGCGUGUCGCGGCAGGCGCCCUCUGCUCUAGCACGCGCGGCGAGCUAUUCGCCCUAAGAGCGGUGUUGGAGGAGCUGUUGACCAAGACUGGUCGCGACACCUCUCUUCCGAUAAUUAUCGUCUGUACCCACUCGAUGGCGGCGCUGGCCCUCCUGCGGAGCGGCGCGGCGGCCCAGAGAGCCCCUCUGGCCGCAGACAUAUGGGGGCUGCUGGCAGCGCUCACCGAGGGGGCCAUCCAGUGAUAAUGCAGUGGGUUCCUGCACACUGCGGGCUUCCGGGCAACGAGCGGAUGGACGCCCUCGCGCGCGAGGCUGGCGCCCUAUCCCAACGGUAGCGCCGUCCGCCGAUCGACUUGGGCAGCACUAUCUGCAAGGCAGGCGCGCGCGACGCUGCGCGCGCCUGGCGGCGGAGCUGGCAGGACGGAUGACCCU